rnacentral:rRNA from 1 species
GACGAACUGUGCAAACGUUAUUCGGAAUCACUGGGCUUGAAGAGUGCGUAGGCGGUUUCGUAAGUAGGGUGUGAAAGCCCCCAGCUCAACUGGGGAACUGCGUCCUAAACUGCGAGGCUAGAGUCCGGGAGAGGAGAGUGGAAUUCCUGGUGUAGCGGUGAAAUGCGCAGAUAUCAGGAAGAACACCCGUGGCGAAAGCGGCUCUCUGGAACGGUACUGACGCUGAGACGCGAAAGCGUGGGGAGCGAACAGG